rnacentral:tRNA from 1 species
GGCGACGUAGCCAAGUGGUAAGGCAGGGGCCUGCAAAGCCCUUAUUCGUCGGUUCGAUUCCGACCGUCGCCUCCA